rnacentral:rRNA from 1 species
UACGGGGGGGGCAAGCGUUGUUCGGAAUUACUGGGCGUGAAGGGCCAGUAGGCUGCCAACUAAGUCGGAUGUGAAAUCCCCAGGCUUAACCUGGGAACUGCAUCCGAUACUGGAUGGCUUGAAUUCGGGAGAGGGAUGCAGAAUUCCAGGUGUAGCGGUGAAAUGCGUAGAUAUCUGGAGGAAUACCGGUGGCGAAGGCGGCAUCCUGGACCGACAUUGACGCUGAACGGCGAAAGCUAGGGGAGCAAACGGG